rnacentral:rRNA from 1 species
UACGAAGGGGGCUAGCGUUGCUCGGAAUGACUGGGCGUAAAGGGCGCGUAGGCGGCUUGCACAGUCAGGCGUGAAAUCCCCGGGCUUAACCUGGGAACUGCGUUUCUAACUGGCAGGCUUGAGUGUGGCAGAGGGGGGUGGAAUUCCACGUGUAGCAGUGAAAUGCGUAGAGAUGUGGAGGAACACCGAUGGCGAAGGCAGCCCCCUGGGCUAACACUGACGCUCAUGCACGAAAGCGUGGGGAGCAAACAGG